CCACUCUCUGCAAGGGGCGGCUGUCAGGGGCGGUGCCCCGGGGGCGGGGCUAUGCCCGGCUACCAAUAAGGCAGCGCCUCCUGGAGGCGGGGCUCCCGGAGGCAGGGCAUCAACUGAAUGCCAAAGGAGCCCAGCCUUCUGGGGGCGGCGCUUCAGGCUUUAGGAGCCGAAGGAGUGAUGGAGUUACCGGAGCUGGGGAUGACGUUGGAACUGAGACGGAAGCAGGGGCCAAACUGAGGGGCGAUACUGGUUUGGGAGCCAGGUUUGAGAUUGGGACUGGAGUUGUUCUUACCGGGCGUGUUCUGGCUCAGGAUUGCGGCUGAGGUUCAACGCUCCACCUCUACACGAUGACUCCCCCCACAAGCCUCAGGAUCACAUCAAGGCCAGAGAGGGUGACCAACCUGGCCCAAAUCACACAGCGAUGCAGCUUGGUCAUCCAGGCUCUACUCUGCCACGCUGCUUCUAGACCCAGAGGACCUUCAAUGUUUUCAGGUUACAGUUUUCCAUUAGUGGUCAUCGAUCCCGACCUCUUUCUGUAACGGAUGGAGAAAGGCUCCUGGAGUAUCAGGAAAGGAUUAUUUUUCCACCUUAUAGACGAUGAAAUAGAAGUCCGGAGAAGUGAAAUGAGCUUCCUGAGCUCACACAGCAAUGGCAGAACUGGGGCGGAAUCAGGCCUCCUGAGUUACAUGGUGAAACAGACACGGGCAAUCUGACCCCAAUGGAAGACCCACACCGCAGUGCAGACUGGGCCUCCCAUCCUGCCUCCUUCCUCUGUUAUCCCUUUCCCUGCCUCUCAUGCAGUCACUCAACAGGUAUUUUUGAGUACCUGCUCAUGUUCCAUUUCCAGCUUCUUGUCCUCCCUUCCCUACUAGGGUCUGCCAAGGCCCCUCCAAAACCUGGCUGGAUCUCUGGCUCCCCCUACCUAGUCCACCCUCAUUUCCUCAGACCACGUCUCUAGUCACAGACUCCUGGCUCUUAGAUGCCUGAGGACAUCAUUUUAAAGGGCUUUAGGGGGGCGCCUGGGUGGCUCGGUCAGUUGAGCGUCCAACUCUUGAUUUCAGCCCAGGUCAUGAUCUCGUGGUUCGUGGACUCCAGCCCCGCAUCUGUCAUCAUGGAGCCUGCUUGGGAUUCUCUCUCCUCCUCUCUCUGCCCCUCCCCUGCUCACUUGCUCUCUCUCUCUCAAAAUAAAUACAUAAAAAUGGUUUAAAAGUUAAACAAAUAAAAAUUAAAGAGUUUAGGGAGUUUAGUUGAGUCAUCCUCUGCCCCAACACUGUAUACAU